UCUCGUUUAAACGAUGUAUUCCCAAAUCCUUCUAAUACAUCCUUGUAACCCUAUAGUUACGCCAGUUUGAUUAAAUUUCAUCAAAAUGAG
rfam:Enterococcus gilvus ATCC BAA-350 genomic scaffold acEQl-supercont1.3, whole genome shotgun sequence.